rnacentral:tRNA from 7 species
GCCCCUGUAGCUCAGAUGGAUAGAGCAACGGUUUCCUAAACCGUGUGUCGGCCGUUCGAAUCGGCCCAGGGGUACCA